UGGGAGGGGGUGACUGGGAGUGGGCAGUGAGUGGUAUGUAAAGUGAAUUAAAAGAUUAUAAAAAUUGUAUGUUUAUCAGUACUGUUAAGCUCAGUUGCAGAGAAGAGUGCCAUGAAGCAUGUAUACUGAGCGCACUCCGCAGUGUGUUUACUGAGAUGGUACACUGUUUAACAUGUUAGAGACUGCCAUUUUAAACUAGCACGCAUCUUCCUCAGAUUUAUCUGAGAUCAUGAAUUUAGGACUAUUUCAUUGUGUUUUGACUGAUUUUGUUGGCUUAUAUAUUUUAUUAUCUCUUUACAUAGAAUUGUUGAUUUCCAAAAUGGGGGUGAGGGUCUAAUGAAAACCUGCCAGGCAGACCAUCUAAGCUACCUGCUCUUCAACCUUGCUUCAACUUAACGAGCAUCAAUCAAGCCAAGCUAUCAAAAGCUUUUCUUUAAGGGGCAAGUCCUGAGGAACACACUUCUCUGAGUUUGGGCUGACAUCGUCUUGUGCAGUAUUGUGAAGGUUAAUGUCCUAACAUCCCUGAAGGAUGGACUACAAGCUACCAAAAGAAGUACCAUGUGCCACAAGACAGACGAUUUGGUCAUAAGGUUUUAUAACAGAGGUGCAGACCCCAAUAUUCCAGACAGAGAUCAUUACAGAAAAGAACCAGCAUCGAACUGCAGAAUCGUGGAACGCAGCCACAACGGAUGCAUCUACAAGAGAGCUGCAUCUCGGGCUCAGGGAAUAUUUUGGAAGAGGGGGCAGAAACAGUCUAAGAACUAGAGGAUCAGGGAACAGGAGGCAAGGCUGUGUCUCCUGAGAAUGCCAGAAGCUGCCCACAAAGUCUCAGCAACACGACUGUCCCACCAUGAGCUGAUCAAGGCCAACAGUAGACAUGCCAAAUAGGGCAGGGGAAGGCCCAUGAGGCCUCACCUUCUAUCCAAAGGACAAGGGGAAACUAAGGAGUGCUGAGAGCUAGGGAAAUAGGCUUCCCCAGGGAAGAACACAACAGUUGUUUAUCUCCUACCAAAGGCCAGUCUGGAAACAUGCAUCCCAGUCACCUCAUAAAGCCUGAGUAGGUUAUAUUCAGAAAUAUGUAUGCGUGCACACAAAUACACAGAUAUGUGAGCAGGAAAAAACAAUUGAUGAAGAAAGGGGUCAUUUGAAAGAGAAGAAGGAAGGGUGGGUGUGAGUCUUUGGGGGUAGAAAAGGAGGUAGAGGACAGAUGUAAUCACAAUCACAAAAAAAAAAAAAAAAAGAAAGAAAAGAAAUCUUUUAGUUGCCAGCUGAAUUUAGUAAGAUUCUGUAUGGCUGUUGCCUAAGUCCUAACUUUUGGUUGACCUUUUCCACAACCCCAUUACCCCCAGCACCAUCCCCUUUAUUAAGGCUUUCUAUGCCCGGGAUCCUCCCAACUCCAUGCUCGUAUCCCAGGCAUUUUACUGCCUCAAGACCACCUCUCAUGGCUCCUUUCUUGUCCCAUGACGUCUACCAACAACAACUCCUAUUUAAUCUGAUCUUGACCAUGACCUGUGCAGACACUCAUAUUCGAACAAAGAAAUGUAAAACUGUGAUAUUGGUGUCCAUAUAAGAGAGAACAUAGGUGGCUUCUGAGGCCGUUUUGGCAAAGAUUCGAAAAAGAUACAUUGGAGAAGAGGCAGCCAUCUUCAUUGACAAAUAGUCCUGGGGAGAACAUGUCGAAGGCUAAAAUCAGGUCUCUAACUUUAGACUCCAGAAAUAUCAGAUCUAAAUGGAUAGAAGAUUGAAAUUCUGAGGAUCCCAGGGGAAAAUGCAGGGAUGUUUCCUCCAGAGAAGGGGGUAGCCAUGAACAUUUGUCAAAGGUUGAACAACUCCAGAAUUGGUCUACACAUUUGGGAGGUGGGAUUCUGAGAAAUGAACAACCAUGUUCAUAGUAAAAACAAAUCAAUUUCCAGAGUGAAGAGACAGAAUUCACACUGGGUGAAAAAACCUGGUGACACGAGUCAUCGUACAGAGACUCGAUGAAAUAUAUACAUGAUUCAGGCAACUACAAAAGAACCAAACGGCUCAAAUAACAGUAACUAAAACACAUUUCCCACGAUGUAUAAUAUAUAUGACAUGUAUAAUAUAUACAACAUGUAUAUAAACAUGAGGGAGACUCUGAUAAGGUGGACAAAGUAGGUGGGAGAAUUUGUAUGAGAAGCAAAAGGAGCACAGGAGACUUGGAAAUGGGUAAGGUCUGCUUUACAUUUGAAAGUCUAAUGCAUUAGACCCACCACCAUUAGCACCAUGGGUACACUGUUAUAAAGUGGGUGAAUCGGGCUGGAGACAUGGCUCAGAGGUUAAGAGCGCUGUCUUCUACAAAGGACCCGGUUCUGAUCCCAGCUCCACGUAAGCACACCUCACAACCGUCUAUACCUCCAGUUCCAGUGGAUCUGACCUCGUCUUCUGGCCUCCGACGCCUCAGGCACUCUUAGAGGGCAAACGCAUGCAUGCAGCCAAUCAGUCAAACAGGCAAAAAUAAAAAUGAAUCAAUCAUUGAACAAGGUACCCCAAUGGCUUUCUAAAAUCAGUAAAUAUCCAUGUUGCCUUGCAAGGGAUGGUGCUGCAUCUGAACAAUCCUGUGCCCUUGUGUGGGUUGUAAGUAACAGAGUGGUUGAGGGAGGCAGUGAUGAUGCACACAUUGGUUACACUCACGGGGGUGGGGGGGGGGAGAAAUUGCCUAGGGGAAAAUGUGAGAAAAUCAGAGAUGGGAAUACAAGGCGGCUUCUUAUGCCCAUGCCCCUCUGAAGCAUGGAGGAGCAAGAAACUACACUUGGGCCCAGGGGUGCUGGCGUUGGUGCAGUCCGUGCUGAUGAGAGGACAGAAGAGUCAGGGGGAUGGGGUUUGCUGUGCUCCUUAAAAAAGCCAUCACAGUCAUGAAGAGGAGGGGAUGCAAGACUUUAGAUGUAAACGGGGUGGGGGAAGAAGCAGGGACAACUGGUCAACUACACAGGGAAGCCCGCUAAGAAAGGGCACGCAUUAUAGAAACACCAGACAACAGAGAAGAAGCAGCUUACCUGAAAUGAGGUAUGAAGCAGAAUGGCAUAGUGAUGUGAAAAGUCACUAGUGAAGAAGGAUUUAAAGGUGCAAAGAUAACAGAUUCCUUGAAAAGUUCAAAAUUUUAAAGAGUUCAAGAGACUAGAGAAGCUGGGAGAGCUGGUGCAUUAAAUCCAGCUGUGAAGAGAAAGGCUGAAAGGCCACAUUUCUGUGUCAGGACUCAUGGGGAUGAAGGUUCAGCCAAGGCCGACAUGCAUGGAGAGGCAGGAGAGAGGUUCUAAUCUGGCAUCUCUAGAAUGGUUGAUCAGGGUGGCAAAGACCGGCCUGGUGAGAUGAAGACACCAUUCACUGGAGGUCAUUCUAGGUCCUGGAUGCACAAGUUUCCGUCUCUCUGUCCACAAGCUUAGAGCUGGCUGAAGAAGAGGGUAGAUGGCCUGCUGAGAGGGACGAAGAAGAGGCCUCUACAAUAGAGUCAAAUGUUGGAGGUGUUUUUCUCCUCAGCAGAGGGAGCAAAUGGGAAUUCUCCAGAAGCAGCAGAAAAGCUGUGGUCCUGGCAUGACUUAAAAUGGACUCUCUCCAGAGGCCCACCCCUCCUGCAGUGAGCAGAGGACUGCUGCGUGUUCUGGCCUCUGGGAACCCAAAUCCACAGCAAGGCUUUCCUUCUGCUUCUGGUGCACACGUUAACCACUGUGGUUCCUUCCCACUCUUUGCCGAGGUCUGGUCCACACAUAGCUUGCACUGUUGUGUGGGGGCGGUGUUAAGGCGGGGUUGGGGUCAGGGCAGGGUAUGAGGUAAGGAGCAGCACAGACAGGUAAACGUUGCCUUCCUCAACUGCCCUGUCUCCAUGGAAUCUUCCCUCAAGGAAAGCUGGGUCUGCAGUCUCUCAGUAGGGAUGAGACACGGAAGAAUCACUGGUGAACACACGCACACUGGUUAUAAAUAGAGAAUGGUUGUCUCACAGAGGUCCUGGUGGUCAGGAAGGUGGCAUGCCCCUGUGCAGGAAGGGCAUAGCUUUGAAUGUAGAUGGUUCAACUGGAGCGGAGAUGAGCCUCUUGGGCUUUGGGAGCCAAGCUGGUGCAGGGCAGGAGAGCUGAGUGGUCAGCAGGUGCGUACCAGGAAAGGACAAUGUAGCUGCACAAAUGGGUGUCAGACACACACGAGUAAAUGGGGGUGAAGGAAAGAGAAGCCGGGGACCUAGCCCAGCUUCUGUGCUAUGCCCUGUGACAAAUCCGUGCUCUCAGGCCUCCCAUGUUGAGCAGUCUCAUGAACACAAAGGUCAAAGUUGUCUCCUCAGGAGAGGAGGAUAAGGCUGGGGGCACUGAAUAUGUUGUGGUGCUUUCUAGAAUGGAAAUCUGGCAGUAAGAUUCCCGAGUCCGUUUCUUUAAAGCCCAACAGAGUUGGCAGGAGGUGAAAGCCUUACAGUAUUAUCCCCUUGCCUGGGCAUCACGUCUCCCAGGUCACAGAGGGGAGGAGAGACACUUCACCUGUCCCUCAUGACUCUCUACUGGUGAGGAUUGAAGCAUGACUCUGGGGGCAAAAUGAUGAAAGUAGACUGGCAUACAGGUUUUUAUCAUGAAACUGAUCGGAAACAACAACAGUAUGACGGGCUCGAGGGUGUGAGAACAGGGGAGCAAUUUUAGAGAAUCAAGAGGGCUAGAUGUCCCCAUCCCAUUUUGGGGUAUAAACUGGUGUUGCUGAGGGGGAGGCAGGGGUGAGGGCUGCAAGCCACCCUGAUGCAGUAUGCAGAUGUAGACAUUCACCUCUGGCCUCUGUACCUUCUUCUGUGCCUCGUCAAGCAGUGAGGGGAGGGCAGGUGGAACUGUGCAAGGUCCCAUUUCCUCCCUGUAAUAGAGGCUUGUGUACCGCAGAGGAGCAGAGAACACAGGCACUUCUCUGCUUCCUUUUGUCUCAUAUUUAGUCCCUAGAUCAUGAGCCUCAGUUACCAUGGGAACUGAAGCUGAGUGUGUGAUGCAUUCACUGGGCUGUGGGAGAAAAGCAGAGCUGGUCCUUGAAAUAAAGCCCUCUGGGAAUAGAGAUUUUAGCAAAGUGUUCCCGUUAAAAGAAUUAGUAAUUUCUAGAAAUAUAUCGAUCCCUGCGACUAACAGAUAGGAGGAGUGGAGGGGAGCAGAA
rnacentral:sRNA from 1 species